rnacentral:rRNA from 1 species
GACGAACGUUGGCGGCGUGCUUAAUACAUGCAAGUCAACUGAAGCAGUGGUAGCAAUAUCGCUGUGGAGGUGGCGCACGGGUGAGUAACACGUAGGUAAUCUGCCUUCAGGUCUGGCAUAACUCCGGGAAACCGGGGCUAAUAGCAGAUGAUGCAGCGGCUCGACAUCGGGACAGUUGUUAAAGCUAUGGCGCCUGAAGAUGAGCCUGCGUCUGAUUAGCUAGUUGGCGGGGUAACGGCCCACCAAGGCAACGAUCAGUAGCUGGUCUGAGAGGAUGAUCAGCCACACUGGAACUGAGACACGGUCCAGACUCCUACGGGAGGCAGCAGUAAGGAAUAUUGCUCAAUGGGAGAAAUCCUGAAGCAGCAACGCCGCGUGAGGGACGAAGGGCUUUUGCUUGUAAACCUCUGUAGUGAGAGAAAAAAAUCCCAAUCUUUGGGACAUGAUGGUAUCUCAAAAGUAAGCCCCGGCUAACUACGUG